rnacentral:rRNA from 1 species
GACGAACGGCUGGCGGCGUGGAUUAGGCAUGCAAGUCGAACGGUAGGAUACCUUCGGGUAUCUGAGAGUGGCGAACGGGUGAGUAACACGUAGGUGAUCUACCCUCAAGAUUGGGACAACCCAGGGAAACUUGGGCUAAUACCGGAUGAAAGCAGCAGUGAUGUUGUUUGAAGGGUGGCGUAAGCUGCCGUUUGGGGAUGAGCCUGCGCUCUAUUAGUUAGUUGGCGGGGUAAAGGCCCACCAAGGCGAUGAUAGAUAGGCGGCCUUAACGGGUGGUCGCCCACACUGGGAUUGAGAUACGGCCCAGACUCCUACGGGAGGCAGCAGUCGAGAAUAGUCUACAAUGGCCGAAAGGCUGAUAGUGCGACGCCGCGUGAACGAAGAAGCCCUUCGGGGUGUAAAGUUCUUUUAUAUGUGAGCAGUGCUUUCUAUGUGAACAGCAUGGGGAGAGAGAUAUUAGCAUAUGAAUAAGCAACGGCUAACUCCGUG